rnacentral:rRNA from 1 species
CGUGUAGGCGGCCAGAUAAGUCCGCUGUGAAAACUCGAGGCUCAACUUCGAGCUGUCGGUGGAAACUAUUUGGCUAGAGUCCGGAAGAGGAGAGUGGAAUUCCUGGUGUAGCGGUGAAAUGCGCAGAUAUCAGGAAGAACACCCGUGGCGAAGGCGGCUCUCUGGUACGGAACUGACGCUGAGACGCGAAAGCGUGGGAGCGAACA